UGGGGAAUAUUGCACAAUGGAGGGAACUCUGAUGCAGCAACGCCGCGUGAACGAAGAAGGCUUUCGAGUCGUAAAGUUCUUUUAUAUGGGAAGAUAAUGACGGUACCAUAAGAAAAAGCCCCGGCUAACUACGUGCCAGCAGCCGCGGUAAUACGUAGGGGGCUAGCGUUGUCCGGAAUCACUGGGCGUAAAGGGUUCGCAGGCGGAAAUGCAAGUCAGGUGUAAAAGGCAGUAGCUUAACUACUGUAAGCAUUUGAAACUGCAUAUCUUGAGAAGAGUAGAGGUAAGUGGAAUUUUUAGUGUAGCGGUGAAAUGCGUAGAUAUUAAAAAGAAUACCGGUGGCGAAGGCGACUUACUGGGCUCAUUCUGACGCUGAGGAACGAAAGCGUGGGUAGCAAACAGG
rnacentral:rRNA from 1 species